GGGCGAUUAACUCAGUUGGUAGAGUGUCACUUUGACGUAGUGAAAGUCGGGGAUUCGAGUUCCUCAUCGCCCACCA
rnacentral:tRNA from 3 species